rnacentral:rRNA from 1 species
UGGGGAAUCUUGCACAAUGGGGGAAACCCUGAUGCAGCGACGCCGCGUGAGCGAUGAAGGUUUUCGAAUCGUAAAGCCCUGUCCUACGGGAAGAUAAUGCCGGUACCAUGGGAGGAAGCCCCGGCUAACUACGUGCCAGCAGCCGCGGUAAUACGUAGGGGGCGAGCGUUGUCCGGAAUUACUGGGCGUAAAGGGUUCGCAGGCGGCGUGGCAAGUCCGAUGUAAAAGGCGAAGGCUCAACCUUCGUAAGCAUCGGAAACUGUCAAGCUUGAGUGAAGGAGAGGGAAGUGGAAUUCCUGGUGUAGCGGUGGAAUGCGUAGAUAUUAGGAGGAAUACCGGUGGCGAAGGCGACUUGCUGGACUUCAACUGAAGCUGAGGAACGAAAGCGUGGGUAGCAAACAGG